GAACAUUUCCCUGUCCGCCUGUUAGUGUUUAUUUCUUCCCCUUCUCCUCCUGGGAGCCGACACCUCCCAGCCCUCACCUUUCACACGCUGCUCUCCCUUCCUUGCCUCCAUCCCUCCCGUCACCCCUCUCCCUCCUCCUCCUCCUUUCCCAGCUCAGCAGCGGAGAUUUCUGUUUGUGCCAGUGGGGCGGCCUGGCGAGACCGCAAUUGCUCUACCCCACAGAUUGACGAGCCCUCAGAUGCCGAUUUACUGUACAUGGCAGCCACGCUGGAGCCGAGGCACAUCUGGAGUGGAGUAAGCUUACUCAGAAACAGGGGCCAGCUCCAGCCGGAGCCAGCGGAGCCGAGCGCGGCACUUGAAGGCAGCCCUCCUGCCUCCCUUCCCUCUCCCCGGAUGAGGGAUGUAAUCCUCCAAGAACUUUCAGGAUUCUGUGAAGAAGCAGUUGAAGGAGGCAAGCCAAGAGACUUGGGGACCUAAUCCUGCCAUCUUUUGCACUUAAGUGCCUUCAUCCAAGGUCUCCUGUUGCAGAGUAGCUUCAUUCCGUUGAAGCAUCAAAAAAAGUCUUCCAUGAAAUUGAGAAUGACAAGGUUUCUGAGAUACUGAAAGCAAACUUGUUUAUGGAUUUUCAAGUCACAUGUUGCCUAUCACUUGCAGCAUGUGGAAAAUUAUCUGAAGUGGAAAUGAAACCAUGCUUUACUGAGAUGACAUGCUACUUCGCCAUCAAUAAUCUCAGUGGGAAAGCAAAUACUAGGCCUACUGGCUACCAGUGACUAUUUCCUGCUUUUUCUCAUAAACAGGUACCAUCGAUGUCCUAACAGCACAUGUAAUGAAACUGUGCAUAGUUUUGUUGUGUUUUUAUCUUUGUCUGAUUUAGACUGUGAACCAUAUGUAAGAUUUGGAAAGAAAAAUUCCCCUUUCUCUAUAAGAAGCCCUGACAUGUGGCACUCAUUUAGGCAAAGAAUUCAUGCAGACACUUGGAGAGGUCCUUAUGAUUUUUCAUUUCUGUUAUGAAAUAUGCCAUUUUUGUUAAGCAAUCUCAUGCCUGGAGAAUCUCCUUCUUAUUUGUCUAACUUAGUCCUUUCCAAGGUGAAGACAUCUUUCUCCAGUGUACGUGAAGAAAGGAGACAUUCAUGGCUGAAUGAGGUGUAAGGAACAUGGGACAAAUGUAUUUUACUCAGCGAAGAAAUUAAAAAAAUCAUAUUCCAUUCUGCAAAAAUGACCCACCCUAUCAGGUAUUAAGUGUGAAAUUAUUUUUCCUCUCUCCCAUUUUCUUCACCUCCACCCCCUGAAACUUCUAGUUCCAGACCAUUAAAAAAACAGUUCAUGCUUCACGGAAAUCCAGAGGAAAAAAAGAAAAGGGAAAAAAAAGGAAAUGUUAGGGAGGUCACCAACAUAACCCACUUAUACCCAAGAAUGUAAACACAAAAAGAAACAUUUUGCUCUGCAAAACAGUCCUUUUGGUCACUCCUUCUUCAGAACGAAUUGUGUUUUUUAAAAAAUUAUUCUUUUUCUAAACAAAAUAAAGGUUUUAAACCAAACGCUUAUUAGACUGGC
ensembl:lncRNA